rnacentral:rRNA from 1 species
AUUGAACGCUGGCGGCAUGCCUUACACAUGCAAGUCGGACGGUAACAGGUCUUCGGAUGCUGACGAGUGGCGAACGGGUGAGUAAUACAUCGGAACGUGCCUAGUAGUGGGGGAUAACUACUCGAAAGAGUGGCUAAUACCGCAUGAGAUCUACGGAUGAAAGCAGGGGAUCGCAAGACCUUGUGCUACUAGAGCGGCCGAUGGCAGAUUAGGUAGUUGGUGAGAUAAAAGCUUACCAAGCCGGCGAUCUUUAGCUGGUCUGAGAGGACGAUCAGCCACACUUGGACUGAGACACGGCCCAGACUCCUGCGGGAGGCAGCAGUGGGGAAUUUUGGACAAUAGGCGAAAGCCUGAUCCAGCAAUGCCGCGUGCAGGAUGAAGGCCUUCGGGUUGUAGACUGCGUUUGUACGGAACGAAAAGCCCCGGGUUAAUACCCUGGGGUCAUGACGGUACCGUAAGAAUAAGCACCGGCUAACUACGUGCCAGCCGCCGCCGUAA